rnacentral:other from 1 species
GCUCGCCUUACAGCAAUUACUCUGAAUUUUUCUCCAAAAAAAAACCCUUCGCGAGUUG